CUUGGCAGCUCUCUUAACCUUCAGCACCCUUUCCUUCUCCUUGGUGAGGGCGCUCUCGGCCGACUCCAUCUCUGUUUAGAGUUGGCCUUCAGUCUCUUGAACUCCUCCUUCUCUUUCCUCUGUUGGAUCAUUGAAUUCACCAACUCAGCAUCCAGCAAGAUAUCUUCUCUCUGCUCUUCCUCUCUCACUCUUCGAUGGUUCAAAGGAGCUUGUCGGAGACCUCGGCCUAUGCACAAGCAGUCUGGGCUUGGUCCUCUAAGUCGUGGUUGAUUUGGGCAGACUUGAUCAACCCUUCCGACAGCACUGUGAUGUUGUGGAUCAUCUAUAAAAUGAAAAGAAAAAAAAUGGCUAAGUCAUCUACUCAG
rnacentral:lncRNA from 1 species